rnacentral:hammerhead_ribozyme from 1 species
AUCCAGCUGACGAGUCCCAAAUAGGACGAAACGCGCGUCGCGUAU